AACGAACGCUGGCGGCAUGCCUAACACAUGCAAGUCGAACGAUAUUUAGGCUUCGGCCUAAUGAAAGUGGCGCACGGGUGAGUAAUACAUAGGAAUCUACCUUACACUGGGGGAUAGCAGUUAGAAAUGACUGAUAAUACCGCAUACGCCAUAUUGGGAAAGCUCCGGCGGUGUAAGAUGAGCCUAUGCCUGAUUAGCUAGUUGGUGGGGUAAAGGCCCACCAAGGCGACGAUCAGUAGCGGGUUUGAGAGGAUGAUCCGCCACACUGGUACUGAGACACGGACCAGACUGCUACGGGAGGCAGCAGUGGGGAAUAUUGCGCAAUGGAGGCAACUCUGACGCAGCAAUGCCGCGCGAACGAUGAAGGUCCUAGGAUUGUAAAGUUCUUUCAGUGGGGAAGAUAAUGACGGUACCCACAGAAGAAGUCCCGGCUAACUUCGUGCCAGCCGCCGCGGUAAUAC
rnacentral:rRNA from 1 species